UAGGGAAUAUUGGGCAAUGGAGGCAACUCUGACCCAGCCAUGCCGCGUGCCGGAUGAAGGCGCUCAGCGUUGUAAACGGCUUUUACUCAUGAAGAACUGUGGGGAUGCGUCCUUACUUGACGGUAAUGAGGGAAUAAGCACCGGCUAACUCCGUGCCAGCAGCCGCGGUAAUACGGAGGGUGCGAGCGUUGUCCGGAUUUAUUGGGUUUAAAGGGUGCGUAGGUGGUCAUUUAAGUCUGGUUUGAAAGUAGGUCGCUCAACGAUCUAAUGUGGCUGGAAACUGAGUGACUUGAAUGGGUUGGCGGCUGCCGGAACGGGUCAUGUAGCGGUGAAAUGCAUAGAUAUGACCCAGAACACCGAUUGCGAAGGCAGGCAGCUACGACCUGAUUGACACUGAGGC
rnacentral:rRNA from 1 species